rnacentral:rRNA from 1 species
UGGGGAAUCUUAGACAAUGGGGGAAACCCUGAUCUAGCCAUGCCGCGUGAGUGACGAAGGCCCUAGGGUCGUAAAGCUCUUUCGCCGGGGAAGAUAAUGACGGUACCCGGUAAAGAAGUCCCGGCUAACUCCGUGCCAGCAGCCGCGGUAAUACGGAGGGGACUAGCGUUGUUCGGAAUUACUGGGCGUAAAGCGCGCGUAGGCGGACCAGCCAGUCAGGGGUGAAAUCCCGGGGCUCAACCCCGGAACUGCCCUUGAUACUGUUGGUCUGGAGUCCGAGAGAGGUGAGUGGAAUUCCGAGUGUAGAGGUGAAAUUCGUAGAUAUUCGGAGGAACACCAGUGGCGAAGGCGGCUCACUGGCUCGGUACUGACGCUGAGGUGCGAAAGCGUGGGGAGCAAACAGGAUUAGAUACCCCCGUAGUCC